rnacentral:rRNA from 1 species
UACAGAGGUCUCAAGCGUUGUUCGGAUUCAUUGGGCGUAAAGCGCGUGUAGGCGGCUUGAUAAGUCUGGUGUGAAAUCUUGGGGGCUCAACCCCCAAGCCUGCACUGGAUACUGUCAAGCUCGAGUCCGGAAGAGGCGAGUGGAAUUCCCCGGUGUAGCGGUGAAAUGCGCAGAUAUCGGGAGGAACACCAAUGGCGAAGGCAGCUCGCUGGGACGUGACUGACGCUGAGACGCGAAAAGCGUGGGGGAGCGAACAGG